rnacentral:piRNA from 2 species
UGAGUAUGCUUAGGCUACAGAAGAGGC